rnacentral:tRNA from 1 species
GACAGUGUAGCUCAGUGGUAGAGUGUUUGCUUAGUAUGUGCAAGGCCCUGGGUUUAAUCCCUAGCACUGCUA